GCGCUCGUAGUUUAUCGGCAGAAUUCGAGAUUCCCAAUCUCGUGGGCCGGGUUCAAUUCCCGGCUGGCGCA
rnacentral:tRNA from 1 species